GGGUCAGUAGGUUGGUCGUGCCACCGGUACGUACUGGUCUCACUGAUUCCUCCCUCCUGAAGAACCGUAAUGCCAUUAAUUUGGUGCUGCGGGGAAACAGGACUGUUACUUUGUAAAAAUUAGAGUGUUUAAAGCAAGCUAACGCUUGAAUACAUUAGCAUGGAAUAAUGAAAUAGGACGAUCGAUCCUAUUUUGUUGGUUUCUAGGAUUGACGUA
rnacentral:rRNA from 1 species